GGCCGGUCAGUCCGGCCCUCGUAAUGCGGCGAACCGGUGGCAAGCCCGGUGGUGGACGCAGAGCCAGAG
rnacentral:ribozyme from 1 species